AUGUGUGUGCGUGUGGGCGUAUGUGUGUCUUGUAUGUGUGUAUGUGCGCAUGUCUCUCUGCAUGUGACUAUACGCCUGUGUGUGUCUCUGUGUGUCUAUCUGUGCCUCUGUGUGUGUAUCCCCAUGCCUGUGUGCAGCUGUGUAUGUGUGUCUGUGUAUCUGUGUGUGCGCGCGCACGUGUGUGGGGUGGCUGUGGAGUCUGUGUGCAACACUGCUGGGAGUGGCCCAGGAGGUGGCUCCGCCAGACCAAACAACCCCAGUGCUCCAAGCUCCAGGCUUUUCUCUGACUCUGUUUGCUUUCUUUCUCUCCUUUCCGGUUCCCCUUUAACUGGUUCCUGCUUCCAGGGAGCAGAGCUGGAGGGAGGCCCUGGCAGGCAAAUGCCAGCUUUCCUUGGCCUGAAGUUGAUAUCGUCACUGGUAGAUCCGGGGGUGACUCUAUGGGGAAAGUACCUUGCUGCCGCUCCACGCUCUACAUUUUGCAAACCCAGGAAAAGGAAAUCCAAGUGAAAUCUAAGGAAGCGGAGUGCCCAGGGCAUCACUGUGGCCAGGUUCAACUAGAAUCCUCUGCCUCUGUCAGGACCCACUGCUUAGCACAGCAAGCGUUACGUGGCUAAGUGGACCCUGGUUGUACGGACAGCUGCAUCUUCUAAAUGGGAAUGUGACUUUAGGAAGGGGUUGCGUUCUGAAGCCCGCUCCUCCCAACUGAGCAGUGCUACCUCCUGCACCCUGGUCAGGAAGAUCUCUCUAGAAUGAUGCCCAGACAGCUGUCCAGCACAUUAUAAAGCAGGCUUCUGUUUGCCCUUGGCCUUGGGUGUAGCUGUUGGUAGUUCCGCAGGACCCACAAAGCCACUGAAGGCCACCUGGAAUGUGAUAAGUUCUGAAAGCAGGGACUGUGCCCCUGACCCUGGCCAGCUGCUUCUCCAGAACUUGAAACAGCUGGUCCAGGCCCCAAGGGAACCUGGUGCCAAGGAGUGUGGACACUUCAUUUGGUCCACCUCUGCUCCAGGGAGCCCAGCCCCUAACUUCACAACCUCCUAGAGGAACAAGAACUCCCUAGAAGCAGAUGGAUAUUGCUCCAUCCUCAGACAGAGCCAGGGAGUUACUGUAGCCUUGCUGAGCACAAUGCCUCCUGAGGCUGGUGAGGUGUGGAGGCGGAGGUCCUGGGAGUGCAGGGAUCUUGCCCUGGGCAACUACCUCUGCACCUGAAGGGGUCCUGAAUCCAUCCCCACCCAAAGAUGCUGUCCACAUCCUUGAGCCAACGUGUGGUGCCCUCUGCCUGCUGCAGGAUGAGAUAAGAAGGGACUGUCUCAGAAGCCAUGCCUCCCGCAGCCGGGCAGGGUCGUGCUCGCCUCCAGUCAGUGAUGUGACAAAUCACAAAUAAAGAUCCGUGGGUAAACUGUCA
rnacentral:lncRNA from 1 species